rnacentral:other from 1 species
CUUUCCCUGCUGUGUCCGUAAUGAGUUGAUAAUAUUGAUCCAACACUUUUUUACUGGGAACCUAACUUCGCUUCGCAUCUUUUGCGUUGUGAGAGGGUGCCCACCUGUACAUACGGGGUUCAUAUUUAUUAACUCCAUACGGCACGGCGGGGUUUUU